rnacentral:tRNA from 1 species
GAGUGUGUGGCUCAAGGGGUAGAGCUCAUGCCUGACAUGCACAGGGUCCGGGGUUCAAUCCCCAGCACCUCCU